UACGGAGGGUGCAAGCGUUGUCCGGAUUUAUUGGGUUUAAAGGGUGCGUAGGCGGCCUCUUAAGUCAGUGGUGAAAGCCCGCGGCUCAACCGCGGAACUGCCAUGGAUACUGGCGGGCUUGAGUACAGACGAGGUUGGCGGAAUUGAUUGUGUAGCGGUGAAAUGCAUAGAUACAAUCAAGAACUCCGAUUGCGUAGGCAGCUAACUAGGCUGUAACUGACGCUGAGGCACGAAAGCGUGGGGAGCGAACAGG
rnacentral:rRNA from 1 species